rnacentral:ncRNA from 1 species
AAUAAACCUUUGAUUGAGAAAUAGUAGUUUAAGUGUCAUUUUAAAGAGAGUCGAUGGCUGGUGUGAAUCGAUAAAUGUCUUAAAUGAAUGGGCUCAUGAGUGGAACCUGAAUAAAAAGAGUAAGGAACCCGGUAAACUCCCGUUAUGAGUAUGAAGUGGAAUAAACAAGGAUUUAUUCUAUUGAGGUGGUACCGCGGUUUUUAUCGUCCUCUAU